GCACCCUACGUAUGACGUCACGUCCUUCGAACGUGACGCCCGAGCCCACCUCCUCCUUCUCAGCACCCUAUAUAAAGCCCCCACAGCAACUAGGAACUGGCGUGCAGCACAGGCUACACCCCCCAGGACACACGAUAUUCCUUCUUCGCAGAGGCCUCCAACUCUCUGGCUUGUCCUCUAUUGGACACUGCAGUGUGGUUGCCCAGCAUGUGGAUUUAAUUUCCACCCUGGCUCCUCUCCCCUGCUCUGUGCCUCAUUGGUCCCAGUCUGGAUUGGGUCUCUUUUCACUUCAGAAUUUAUUUAUGUAAUCUUCAUACAUCAUGGCCUGCCGCCAACCAUAGGAAAUCUUAUUUUUUCUUUUCCUAUUAGGCCGUCUUGAGUUUUAUCUCACAAGCUAUAUAUCUCCUAUACACCUGCGGUCCCAUUUGGGUUUUUCGAUGCACGUGGAUGGCUAGCAGUCUUACUGGUAUUGUUUUGAGAUUCUUUUUUGCAUGUCGGCUCUCAGUGUUUUAACCUAUUUUGGUAAAUUUCCUUAUGUUUUUUUGUACAUUACAAGCUUUUCAUAUCUCAUUUCAGACUUAUGAUACUAGCAAUAUUCUAUUGUCAAAAACUCUCUCUCAAACUCGUCCUGAAGAAGCCGCUAGGCGAAACGCAUAGGCGAGACGAAAGAUAAUAUUGCCUGUGAAUGUAUAUCCUGUACUGUUUCACUGUAUUUUAUUGAAGUUAUUGUAUGUAAUAAUUUUUUGUAAUUAAAUUUAUAAUUUUUCUAAA